GACGUAGGGGGCAAGCGUUGUUCGGAAUUAUUGGGCGUAAAGCGCUCGUAGGCGGGACAGGAAGUUCGUGUUGAAAGACCUCGGCUCAACUGAGGGACCGGCUCGAAUACUCUUGUUCUUGAGGCAAUCAGAGGGUGAUGGAAUUCCCGGUGUAGCGGUGAAAUUCGUAGAUAUCGGGAGGAACACCAGUGGCGAAGGCGGCGAUCUGGGAAGAUACUGACGCUGAGGCGCGAAAGCUAGGGGAGCAAACAGG
rnacentral:rRNA from 1 species